rnacentral:lncRNA from 1 species
CCCGUAGGAAAAGUCAAAGAUAUUUAUGAUAAGAUAAUUCCUUAUUCUUAUCAUAAAUACAUUUCUAAUCAGAGGAGACCUCUUUCAAGUAAGUAACCAUAAUUCCAUUUAUUUAGGAUAUUUACCAAAUUACUCCUAGAUAUUUAUUUUCGCAAGUAUCUUGGAAUAUUCUCACCCUAGAGGGCCGGCCCACUUCCUCCUUUUCUCCUAUAAAUACUCCAUUUAUCUCCAAAAUUCAUGAGGCUUUUUGCUACCCACUUCCUUAUUCUCAGAAUUCUAACUUUGGCAUUGGAGAUUCUUCGACCAAAGUCUCCUCCCCAUUCAUCGUGGGCGCGUG